UGGGGAAUAUUGCACAAUGGGCGCAAGCCUGAUGCAGCCAUGCCGCGUGUAUGAAGAAGGCCUUCGGGUUGUAAAGUACUUUCAGCGAGGAGGAAGGCGGUAAGGUUAAUAACCUUAUCGAUUGACGUUACUCGCAGAAGAAGCACCGGCUAACUCCGUGCCAGCAGCCGCGGUAAUACGGAGGGUGCAAGCGUUAAUCGGAAUUACUGGGCGUAAAGCGCACGCAGGCGGUCUGUCAAGUCGGAUGUGAAAUCCCCGGGCUCAACCUGGGAACUGUAUUCGAAACUGGCAGGCUAGAGUCUUGUAGAGGGGGGUAGAAUUCCAGGUGUAGCGGUGAAAUGCGUAGAGAUCUGGAGGAAUACCGGUGGCGAAGGCGGCCCCCUGGACAAAGACUGACGCUCAGGUGCGAAAGCGUGGGGAGCAAACA
rnacentral:rRNA from 1 species